rnacentral:rRNA from 1 species
GAUCAAGUGCCUUAAGGGCAUUCGGUGGAUGCCUUGGCGCUGAGAGGCGAUGAAGGACGUGGUACGCUGCGAAAAGCUACGGGGAGGUGCGAACAACCUUUGAUCCGUGGAUAUCCGAAUGGGGAAACCCACCGCUUAGGCGGUAUUGUCAUCUGAAUACAUAGGAUGGCAAGGCGAACCCGGGGAACUGAAACAUCUAAGUACCCGGAGGAAAGGACAUCAACCGAGACUCCGUUAGUAGCGGCGAGCGAACGCGGACCAGGCCAGUGGCGAAUGCAAGACAACCGGAACUGCUUGGAAAGGCAGGCCUUAGUGGGUGAUAGCCCCGUACGGGUAAUGCUUGCAUGCGUCCUUGAGUAGGGCGGGACACGUGAAAUCCUGUCUGAACUUGGGGGGACCACCCUCCAAGCCUAAGUACUCCUCAGCGACCGAUAGCGAACAAGUACCGUGAGGGAAAGGUGAAAAGCACCCCGACAAGGGGAGUGAAAGAGUCCCUGAAACCGGAUGCCUACAAACAGUAGGAGCCCAAGGUUCGUCCUGGGUGACUGCGUACCUUUUGUAUAAUGGGUCAGCGACUUAGUCUGGCGAGCAAGCUUAAACCGAUAGGUGUAGGCGUAGCGAAAGCGAGUCUGAACAGGGCGUUCAGUUCGUCGGAUUAGACCCGAAACCGGUGUGAUCUAGCCAUGAGCAGGUUGAAGGUGCGGUAACACGCACUGAAGGACCGAACCCACGUCUGUUGAAAAAGACGGGGAUGACUUGUGGCUAGGGGUGAAAGGCCAAUCAAACCCGGAAAUAGCUGGUUCUCCGCGAAAUCUAUUUAGGUAGAGCGUCGGAUUAAUACUCUCGGGGGUAGAGCACUGGAUGGGCUAGGGGGUCCCACAGACUUACCAAACCUAACCAAACUCCGAAUACCGAGAAGUACUAUCCGGCAGACACACUGCGGGUGCUAACGUCCGUAGUGGAGAGGGAAACAACCCUGACCAACAGCUAAGGCCCCCAAAUCACGACUAAGUGUGAAAGGAUGUGGCGAUCCCAAAACAACCAGGAUGUUGGCUUAGAAGCAGCCAUCAUUUAAAGAAAGCGUAACAGCUCACUGGUCUAAAUAAGGGUUGCCGCGCCGACAAUGUAACGGGGCUCAAGUCGUGUGCCGAAGCUUUGGGUUCACUCCGCAAGGGGUGAGCGGUAGCGGAGCGUUCCGUAAGCCAGUGAAGGGAGACUCGUGAGAGCUCCUGGAGGUAUCGGAAGUGCGAAUGCUGACAUGAGUAACGAGAACAGUGUGAGAAACACUGUCGCCGUAAGUCCAAGGGUUCCUGCGCAAUGCUAAUCAGCGCAGGGUUAGCCGGCUCCUAAGGCGAGGCCGAAAGGCGUAGUCGAUGGGAAUCAGGUAAAUAUUCCUGAGCCUGCGGGUGGUGACGGAUUCCGUGUAUCGUCAAUCCUUAUUGGAUUGGGUUGGCGAUGAAGGAGUUCCAGGAAAUAGCCCCCGCGUAUAGACCGUACCCCAAACCGACACAGGUGGACUGGUAGAGCAUACCAAGGCGCUUGAGAGAACGAUGCUGAAGGAACUCGGCAAAUUGCCUCCGUAACUUCGGAAGAAGGAGGACCUUUGCUUGGGCAACCAGGCAAAGGUGGCACAGACCAGGGGGUAGCGACUGUUUAACAAAAACACAGGGCUCUGCGAAAUCGCAAGAUGACGUAUAGGGCCUGACGCCUGCCCGGUGCCGGAAGGUUAAGAGGAGGGGUGCAAGCUCUGAAUCGAAGCCCCGGUAAACGGCGGCCGUAACUAUAACGGUCCUAAGGUAGCGAAAUUCCUUGUCGGGUAAGUUCCGACCUGCACGAAUGGCGUAACGACUUCCCCGCUGUCUCCAGCAUCGACUCAGUGAAAUUGAAUUCCCCGUGAAGAUGCGGGGUUCCUGCGGUUAGACGGAAAGACCCCGUGCACCUUUACUACAGCUUUGCACUGGCAUUCGUGACGACUUGUGUAGGAUAGGUGGUAGACUUUGAAGCUUGGGCGCUAGCUCAGGUGGAGUCACCCUUGAAAUACCACCCUUGUUGUUAUGCAUGUCUAACCGCGGCCCGUUAUCCGGGUCCGGGACAUUGCAUGGUGGGUAGUUUGACUGGGGCGGUCGCCUCCCAAACAGUAACGGAGGCGCGCGAUGGUGGGCUCAGAGCGGUCGGAAAUCGCUCGUUGAGUGCAAUGGCAUAAGCCCGCCUGACUGCGAGACUGACAAGUCGAGCAGAGUCGAAAGACGGCCAUAGUGAUCCGGUGGUUCCUUGUGGAAGGGCCAUCGCUCAACGGAUAAAAGGUACGCCGGGGAUAACAGGCUGAUGAUGCCCAAGAGUCCAUAUCGACGGCAUCGUUUGGCACCUCGAUGUCGACUCAUCACAUCCUGGGGCUGGAGCAGGUCCCAAGGGUUCGGCUGUUCGCCGAUUAAAGUGGUACGUGAGUUGGGUUCAGAACGUCGUGAGACAGUUCGGUCCCUAUCUGCCGUGGGUGUAGGAGAAUUGAGAGGAUCUGUCCUUAGUACGAGAGGACCGGGAUGGACGUACCUAUGGUGGACCUGUUGUGGCGCCAGCCGCAUAGCAGGGUAGCUAAGUACGGACGGGAUAACCGCUGAAAGCAUCUAAGCGGGAAACCCACCUCAAAACUAGUUCUCCCUUGAGAGCCGUGGAAGACCACCACGUUGAUAGGCCGGGUGUGGAAGUGCGGCAACGCAUGAAGCUUACCGGUACUAAUAGCUCGAUUGGCUUGAUCACU